GGGCUCGUGGUGUAACGGAUCAUCAUUUAGGCCUCCGGAGCCUACGAUCCGGGUUCGAAUCCCGGCGAGCCCG
rnacentral:tRNA from 1 species